AUGCUAAUGCCCGGCACAAGAUCGGGUCUCGUCACUGCCGCCAGCGACGAUAUCGGGCUCCUGCUGCUCAGGGAGUACCAACCACCAUUGCUUGAUGAAAGGAGUAUUGUACAGGGGGUUCUUCGUGCCGCACAAUUUCCUAUGCUAUACCAGGGGCGCAUAGGAUCUCUGAUUCCCAAUGCCUGCAAACUCGUGGAGGAACUGAUGGAGCUGGGCAACGAGGAAGAGAGGUGGAAAGUAAUCGAGGGCGUGUGGGUGUGGGUGGAGAAGCUCCGCUAUUCCGCCAGCAGAUGCAGAGGCUACCUGCACGCCAGGAGCUUGGGUGAAGGCGGUGAGUACCUGUCCUACGUCUGGUUCCUCUUGUCAUUCAUGGGGAUGGAGACCUUGGCGGACAGGCAUCAGAGGUCAGAGCCUCCUCGAGAAGAAGCAGCAGUGGCGGGCGAAUCGACUUCCCAAUCCCAUGGUAGAGCCACAGCCAACCAGUAUGCCGUAGUCUGGGAGUGA
rnacentral:rRNA from 1 species